GGACACAACACUGCGGAGCCACACAGCGAGCCUCCCGGAGAGACAUGGCCCUCCCUCCGCCCGGCACGUCCAGGGCGCUGAGGCAGGGAGCUGCACGGGUCAUCACGCCGCCCAGGCCGAGCAGCGAUUGGUCCUUUUGAACUGCCGAACACCUGGUGCGGAGCAGCCAUUGGUCAACUUGUAACGGUUCUUUUCAACUCCGACCGAUGCCGAGCAGCGAUUGGUCCGUUUGAACUGCCGAACGCCUGAUAUAAAGCAGCAAUUGGUCAACCCGUAACGGUUCUUUUCAACUCCGACGUGAGUACAUUUCACAGCCUUUUUUUUGUUUGAGCUUGAGCGGAAAGGUCGAUGAACCCCAGACUCAAUUAGUUUUUGCCGCCCUCUGUUUUAUUUUAAUUGGAAACUGCUAUUAUCAAAAUAAUCUGUAAUGAGUAACUAGAUUGUGAUUGCGUACCUAAUUGGUAUGACCUGAAGUUGCCAGGACUAAUGUAAACCGACACCUGUCAUCACAAUC